rnacentral:lncRNA from 1 species
GAAAAAGGAAAAAAAGAACAUUCUUAUUUUGAUUCACUAUCCUCACAACAUUAGACCCAAUAAUUAAUUAUAAGAAUCCGAUUAUGGUUUACGCAGGCUCAGUAACUUGACAUCAUCAACCACAGGUCCACACAGCGAAGAGAAGUCAUCACUCCUCAUGGUAUAAAAAGUGCUGAGGAACAUCACUCGUGUUCUUGGCGAAACCGCCACAAACCUAAGCGCCGCGCGCUUGAACCCGCCUUUGCCUUUGGACUGGUAAGGCACUUUCACCGUGUCCCUGCCGGCGAAGGCUUCCACGAUCAUGGAGCCUUCACAAGAGUUGUUGGCGUCUCCCACGGAGAACGAG